rnacentral:rRNA from 1 species
GAUGAACGCUGGCGGCGUGCUUAACACAUGCAAGUCGAACGAUGAAGCCCAGCUUGCUGGGUGGAUUAGUGGCGAACGGGUGAGUAACACGUGAGUAACCUGCCCUUAACUCUGGGAUAAGCCUUGGAAACUGGGUCUAAUACCGGAUAGGAGCGUCCACCGCAUGGUGGGUGUUGUAAAGAUUUAUCGGUUUUGGAUGGACUCGCGGCCUAUCAGCUUGUUGGUGAGGUAAUGUCUCACCAAGGCGACGACGGGUAGCCGGCCUGAGAGGGUGACCGGCCACACUGGGACUGAGACACGGCCCAGACUCCUACGGGAGGCAGCAGUGGGGAAUAUUGCACAAUGGGCGCAAGCCUGAUGCAGCGACGCCGCGUGAGGGAUGACGGCCUUCGGGUUGUAAACCUCUUUCAGUAGGGAAGAAGCGAAAGUGACGGUGCCUGCAGAAGAAGCACCGGCUAACUACGUG